rnacentral:rRNA from 1 species
AAGCAUUAAGGGAAUACCUAAAACAUCAUAAAUUUAUCUACGGACGUUUAAUAUGAUAUAUCUAUGUUGAGUAAUAAAAUUUACUGCGAUCCAUAGAGUUCCGUAAAACAGAAAACUGAUCUUUUUAUUUAAGAUACUAUUUAUUUAAAAAAUUAAUAGUUGAAAAUUUAGUGAAUUGAAACAUCUAAGUAACUAAAUAAAAAAUCAAUAGAGAUACCGUUAGUAGUGGCGAACGAAACCGGUAAAGACUUUAUAAUUUGUUACACAAUAUUAUUUAAAAAAUAUUCCAUAGAAGGUUUUAAUAUAGUCCUGUAAAAUAAUUUGUUGUGUAUAUAUUUUAUUUUUUAAGUAAAAUGAUACUUGUCGUGUGUUGUUUGAAUAUUGGGGGACCACCCCCAAAGUCUUUAAAUUUUUGGUGAUUGAUAGUGAAUAAGUACCGUGAGGGAAAGGUGAAAUAGAUCUUUUAAAGAAUUGAAAAAGUUAUUGAAACUUAAUGCUGACAAGCAGUUGGAGCCUCUUUUUUAGUGAAGGUUACAACGUACCUUUUGCAUAAUGGAUCAACGAGUUUAUUUUAGUGGCAAGCUUAAACUGUAAAAAGAGUGUAGGCGAAAAAAAAUUAAGUUUUAAAAUUGCAUUUUUAGUCUCUGAAAUAAGACCCGAAACUAAGUGAUCUAACCAUGGACAGGUUGAAUUUUAAAGCGGUAACGCUUAUUGAAGGACCGAACUCGUGUAUGUGGAAAAAUACUGAGAUGAUCUGUGGUUAGGGGUGAAAGGCCAAUCAAACUUAGAGAUAGCUGGUUUUCUGCGAAAUCUAUUUAAGUAGAGCAUUUUUAUACUUUGUUUUAAGGUAGAGCACUCGAUAAGUAAUGGGAAUGUAAUGUUUUACUGAAUUUAACGAAACUCCGAAUAUAAAAUAAAGGUUUAAAAAUAGACAGACUAGUAAUGCUAAGAUUUCUAGUCAAGAGGGAAACAGCCCAGAUUAUUUGUUAAGGUCCUUAAAAAUAAUUAAGUGAGAAAGAAAGUAAAAAAAUAUUAACAAUUAGUAGGUAGGCUUGGAAGCAGCCAUCCUUUAAAGAAAGCGUAACAGCUCACUAAUUUAAUUUUUUAGCGUCGAAAAUGUAUAGGGACUUAAAUUAUUUACCGAAACUAUAAAUUAAAAUAUUACUAACUAUUUUAAUGGUAGCAGAACGUUCUGUAAAUUUAUGAAGAUAUAUAUUAAUAUAUAUUUGAAAUAUCAGAAUUGAAAAUGUUGAUAUGAGUAGCGACAAACAGUGUGAAAAACAUUGUCAUCUUAUGUUUAAGGUUUCUAAGGUAAAGCUAAUCUUCCUUAUAUUUAGAAUCGGCCCCUAAAAUAGAUACGAAAGUUUCUUUUGAUGGGUAAAAUUAGUUUUAAUUUUAUAUUUAUUUAUGUGACAUGUUAUAAAUUACAUUGUUAUAUUUUGGGUAAAUAAUAGUGUUUUAGUAAUUUCAAGAAAUAGCAUAAAAAAUAUUUGAUAUUUUUAAUUAAAAAUAUCAAAAUUAACCGUACUCUAAACCGACACAGGUAAACAGAUUUAGUAAAUUAAGAUGAUUGAGUUAAUUAUAUUGAAGGAACUCGGCAAAAUGACUCCGUAACUUCGGGAUAAGGAGUGACUAUUUAAGGGAAACCUUUUGUAGUUGUCACAAAAUCGAGGACAGCGACUGUUUAUUAAAAACACAGGUCUCUGCAAAUUCGUAAGAAGACGUAUAGGGACUGACGCCUGCCCAGUGCUGUAAGAUUAAUAGAAGAAGUAAUUGCUUCAACUAGAACCCCCAGUAAACGGCGGCUGUAAUUCUGACGGUCCAAAGGUAGCGAAAUUCCUUGGCAUUUAAUUGGUGUCCUGCAUGAAUGGCGUAACGACUGUCCUACUGUCUCCAAUAUAAUCUCAGUGAAAUUGAAUUCUCCGUGAAGAUGCGGAGUACCUACGGCUAGACGGAAAGACCCCGUGCACCUUUACUAUAGUUAAGCAUUGCAUCAAUAAAUUUUAUGUGUAGCAUAUGUGGAAAGUUUUUUUUAAGAUUUUUACGCCAGUAUUUUGUUUAAAACUAUCAGUGAAAUACCACUCUUAAAAUUUUUUUGUUGCUCAUUUUUUAGACAGUGUUUAAUGGGUAGUUUGACUGGGGCGGUCGCCUCCUAAAGAGUAACGGAGGCGCACUAAGGUAAGUUCAAAUUGAGAGAUAUCAAUUUCAGAGCGUAAUAGUAUAUACUUGCUUGACUGUAAGAUUGACAAAUCGAACAGGGACGAAAGUCGGUUAUAGUGAUCCGGUGAUUCUGUGUGGAAAUGGUCACCGCUCAACGGAUAAAAGGUACGCCGGGGAUAACAGGCUAAUCACCCUCUAGAGACCCUAUCGACGGGGUGGUUUGGCACCUCGAUGUUGGAUUAUCACAUCCUGAAGCUGAAACAGGUUUCAAGGGUUUGGCUGUUCGCCAAGUAACGUGGUACAUGAUCUGAGUUUAGAACGUCGUGAGACAGUUUGGUCCCUAUCUACCGUAGGCAUUAUGAAAAAUGAGAGAAUUAAACCCUAGUACGAGAGGACCGGGAAAAGUAAACCUAUGGUGUAUCGGUUGUUAUACCAAUGGCAUCGCCGAGUAGCUAAGUUUAUAAUAGAUAAUUAUUGAAAGCAUUUAAGUAAGAAACUAGUCUCAAGAUAUUUUUUCAGUAAUAAACGUAAAAGAUAAUUACGUGAUAGGUUUGGUGUGUAAGAAUUGUAAAAUUUUUAGCUUACAAAUACUAAAUUUAUAGUUAACUUUUUAAUAAA